GGUUUAAUUCGAAGCAACGCGAAGAACCUUACCCAGGCUUGACAUCCCGAUGACCGCUCUAGAGAUAGAGCUUCUCUUCGGAGCCUCGGUGACAGGUGGUGCAUGGUUGUCGUCAGCUCGUGUCGUGCGAUGUUGGGUUAAGUCCCGCAACGAGCGCAACCCUUCUCUUCAGUAGCCAUCAUUGAGUUGGGCACUCUGGCGAGACUGCCGUGGAUAACACGGAGGAAGGUGGGGAUGACGUCAAAUCAUCAUGCCCCUUAUGUCUUGGGCUACACACGUGCUACAAUGGCUGGUAACAAAGUGAAGCGA
rnacentral:rRNA from 1 species